rnacentral:lncRNA from 1 species
UUUUUUUAUUGUGUAAGUGAUUUUUUUAAUUGAUUAUUUGAAUUUAAAAAUAUUAUCACUAAAGCCGAUAAAAUUAUAUACACAAAAUUUCCUUUCUUAAUAAUAGUAUAAAUAAUUGAAUGUAUUCCCUCUAUUCCAAAAUAAAUAAAGAACUUUUCUUUUUAAUACUUAUUUCAAUAUAAUUGAAUGUGUACAUUUUUAAACACAACAGCUACCUAAUUAAAUAAUUUGUCUUUAUUUCAAAAUAAUUAAACAAUUCUGUUUAAAAUAAUAGUUACAUAAUUAAAUAACGUUUCCUUUUGCAAAAAAGUUUAAAUAAUUUAAAAUUAGUGAUUACAUAAUUUGCUUAAUACUAUUUUUAUAAUAAUAUAUGUAUAUAUAUAUAUAUAUAUAUAGGGGUUUGCUAACUUGCGUACGCCUGUUUUUCAGUUGGUACAUUUUAGCAAUGUGUACCUGGUUUCAGUAGACAAAAAUACCCUUAUAUCAUGAAUUCUAAGUUUUAAGAUUAAGGAUAUUUUAAUAAUUUUCAUUCUAAAAAUUAAAAAAAUAAAAAAAGAAACCCCCAAAACCCUUACCCACCUCUCUCAUUCCUCUCAACCCUUUCUCUUUCAUUUCAACCUUUUCUCUGUCAUCUCUACUCUAAUCCCAAUUGAAGAAAAUCAGAAACACUUGCCUUAUUUUAAUAACUUUCAUUCUCAAAACUAAAAUAGAAACCUCAAACCCUUACUCACCUCCUUCAUUCCUCUUAACCAUUUCUCCUUCAUCUCUCNCAGUCAAACAUUUUCUCUGUCAUCUUUACACUAGCCCCAACUAAAAAAAUACUCAUUGUAAAGAGUUGAGUCAUUGACAUAUUCACCUUCCGAAAAAAGUUCAUUCAAACUCUCUUUAAUUUCAUUAUCUUCANUAUAUAUAUUACCGCUGACGGGCACAACUUGCACCAAGACUUAUGAACAUCCUUCUUUUACAUUCUGAGACUACUACGUAACAUUGCUCCGUGGCCAUUUAAUUUUUUUUGGUAGAAAUUCAUUAACUUGUUUUCCUUUACUAAAGAAAAAAUAAAUCAAAAUACAAUAAAAUUCUCAAAAAUAAAAUCAAACAAUAAAAAUUCUAAAUCUUGAAAUUUUAUUUAAAAUUAUAUAAAGAAAAAAUUAGGUGCUUUAAUUUUUUUAUUUAUGUAAGUAUUUUUUUCUCUAAUCAUUUUAUUUAAUAAUGAGUGUUUUUUUUAGUUGGGGUUAGUGCAGAGAUGACAGAGAAAAAUGUUUGAGUGAAAGAGAUGAAGGAGAAAGGGUUGAGAGGAAUGAAAGAUGUGAGUAAAGGUUUGAGUUUUUUUUUAGUUUUGAGAAUGAAAAUUAUUAAAAUAAGGCAAGUACUUCUGAUUUUUUUCAAUUGGGCUAGAGUAGGGAUGACAGAGAAAAAGUUGUUGGAGUGAAAGAGAUGAAACAGAAAGCUUUGAGAGGAAUGAGAGAGGUGAGUAAGGGUUUGAGGGGCUUAUUUUUUUAUUUUUUUAAUUUUGAGAAUGAAAAUUAUUAAAAUAUCCUUAACCUUAAAACUUAGAAUUCAAUAUAUAAGGGUAUUUUUGUCUAUUGAAAUCCGGUACACAUUGCUAAAAUGUACCAACUGAAAAAUAGGCGUACAAGUUAGCAAACCCCAUAUAUAUAUAUAUAUAUAUAUAUAUAUAUAUAUAUAUUUAAAUUAUAUUAUUAAUGUAAUAAUAAUUAAAUUACAUAUAUUUUAAUAUGAUAAAAAUGUGAACUAUGCAAAAUUUUUAUUAAAUUUUAAAAUAAAUUUUAAUUAUUAAAAUAAAAUAUUAAUGAACUAUAAAAUAUUUUUUUAAAAUAUAUUUAGAACAAAAAAUAAUUUAAUAAUUUUAAUAUAAGCAAUUCUUUUAUGAUAUAGCUAAUGUUUUUAUUAUGAAUAAUUAUUUAAAUUUAAAAAUAUUUAUUAAAAAGUAAAUGUAAAAGAUAUAUUUUUUAUUUUAAACUUUUUUAUGAUAAAAAAAUAAUUAUAAGAGUAAAUAUAAAAUUUUUACAAUUUUAUUAUAAAUUAUUAUUUUAAUUGAAAAAAUUAUAUUUAAAAGAAUAAACAAGUAAAAAAGAUUAAUUUAAAAAAAAAAAUUAAAGAGUGAAAAUGAUAUUUUAAAAAAUAGAUAUUUAAGUCCAAAAUAAUUUUUUUUAUAUAAUAAAUAUAGAUAAUUAUUUAAAUUUAAAAAAUUAAUCAUAAAAAGAUAUAAAAUCUAAAGAAAUCAUAGACACCAAAAUGAAAUUAAAAGAUAUAUAAAUAAAAAAUAAAAAUCAGCACUAUAUAUAACAUCAAAUCGAAAUGCUAUACAUCCUUUAGGGCUUCAGGUUUUUUAUAUCUCAGCCUUCCUCUCCGCUGGAACCCGCCACCAUCUCCCUCAGGUUUCUUUUGUUCCAAAACUCUUACCUUUCUCUCUGUGGUUUUGAAACCCUAAGGUUGACACUUACUCACUGUGUGUGCAGAGAUGGCAGAAGAGAAUCCAAAGCCUCUGAAUUACAUCCCCGAGGUUAUACUCAAGAAGCGCAAAAGCAGGGAAGCAUGGGCGUUGAGAAAGAAAGAGCAAUUCCAGCACAAGAAUUUUCAAUCCAUCAAGAAGCCCGAGGAUUUCAUCCACGAGUAUCGCAACCAGGUAACUAACCAAAUGACUAAAUUUUCCGUCACACGUUUAUCCGAACCUAAUAUGCUUUAUUCACAAACAGUUUUUGUGAUAAGUUGCGAAACCUUAUGGUUUAUGUGUGUUUAUAGGAAGUGGAUCUCAUUAGGAUGAAGCGAAGGGUGAAGAGGAAACUUCCUCAAGUUCACUCCAACGUAUUGAUAAUCAUUCGUAUACAGGGGUAGGUACAGUUCCUUGUUUUUCUUUUUGACUUAAUUAUAUCUCGGUUCCUACAUUUUUACAUAUAUUUUUUCUUUUGUGUUUUAGUUCAUUCACUCAAAAACUGCAUACCUUUUCAAUGUGUUCCUGCCCUCCUAAAUUGGAGGGGGUAAAACUGAUAAUAAAUGAAUUUGAAAGUUGUAAAGAUUAAAAAUUUUAGGUGUAGGGAGUUAAACUAAAAGGGAUAAAAAGUGUAUGUUUAUACUAAAAUGAGUAGUUACUGAGUGUAGAGAAUAGAGUAUAAAGACUAUGCAUGUACAGGGGCCAAAUAGGUAGUUAAACCUAUUUUUUUGUUUUUCUUGUAUAUUUGAUGCUUUUAAACUGAGAAUUGAAUUAGUGAUGAUAUGUCUGUUAUUUUCGGUUGGAUUAGGAAAAAAGACAUGCAUCCAAAAACAAGGAAGGUGCUGUACAGCUUGGGUUUGAGGAGUAUGUUCAGUGCUGUUCUUGUGAAGCCAAGUGAGGGAAUAAUGGCCAAACUGCAGAGGGUGGAACCAUAUGUGACCUAUGGGUAUGAUAUUAAUUUAUGUUUUUGAUUUUGUGCAUUAUAUGUUUGGUGCUAGCAAGGGACUUGGUGGGUUUUUAGGACUUACGGAGUUGAAAGAAAAGUGGGGAAAAGUGGGGAAAGUCUGCGGGUUGCAUGUAUUGAUUGAGACCAGUAAUGUUCAUGGGCAAACUAAGUGUUAGUAGCCAUUUGGAUGGGUUUAUUUAUUUAUUUACAUUUAUCUUACUUGAAAAAGAGAAUGAUUUUAUUAUUUUCAUUCAUAUCAAUUACAUUCUCUUUACCUUUAUUUGUAGCAAUCUAAUCUAAAAAGAGAAAAUAAGGCAACAAUAUACUAAAAAAUAAUCUAGAAGAUCAUAUGAUCAUACUUAUAUUUUCUGUAAUUAGAAAGAUUCUAUAAAUAUUUUCUCUAAUUAAGAAGAUUCUAUAAAUAUUUUUUCUAAUUAGGAAGAUUUUAUAAAUAUUUUCUCUAAUUAAGAAGAUUUUAUAGAUAUUUCCUCUAAUUACAACAAUCUUGCUGUAUAAAUAUGUGUAUAAGUGUUUGGGGCUGAUGAAAAAUAUCUUAUGAUAUGUCCAUGAGUUGUUUUCAGCUAUUUACAACAAUUUUUCCAGGAUGACCUGUGAAAAAAAUACAAUUAUUUGCAAAAUGUUUAAUGUUAUUUUGAGUUUAAUUGUAGAAACAUGAACUGUAGAAACUUGUACAUACAGACUUGUGUCUGCAAGUUAUUUGGGAAAGAAAAAUGCUAAGCAAGUUGAUUAUGUACCAACUCAACUAAUAAAUCUGUUUGUUUGUGUAUGACACUUGGCAAAUGUAUUUCACCCUAUAUGGAAUGUGUAGAAUGCAUUGGAGGAAUAGUACUACCCUAUACAACUUUUUUUUUCUUAUGUUUAUACUCCUGUGUAUGUUGUGUUCAUUGCUAAAGGAAAAGAAAUCACUUGUCACUUGAGUUGCUCUUUAUUUUGUGAAUGUGUCUUUUGAAGGUAUCCAAACCUUAAAAGCAUAAAGGAGCUAAUUUACAAGAAAGGACUCGCCAGGAUGGAUGGGCGGAAAGUUCCCUUAACAGAUAAUAGCAUUAUUGAACAGGUAAUAUAUGGAGUUCCUGGAUCCCUGGUUUUUUAUUAUCGUUUCUCCCUAGCAUUUUGUAAAUUUUCCAAUUUUUCUCAUGCAGGAAUUAGGAAAAUUUGGUGUUGUCUGCAUAGAGGACAUGGUGCAUCAGCUAUAUAAUGCUGGUCCCCACUUUAAGGAAGUUGUCAGAUUUAUGUGGCCCUUUGUACUCAACAAGCCAGCUGAAGGAUUGAAAGGAUCAAAAACCCUAUUCAAGGAGGGUGGAGACACUGGGAACCGUGAGGAUCUCAUCAAUGAACUGAUCGAUAAAAUGAAUUAGUGGCUGUUGUAGUCUCAAAAUUUUGAUGUGUACUAUUUCGAUAGGAUGAUCCUAUGUCCAAGCAUCUCAGUUUUUAAGUAACUGAUUUAUUACCUAGAAAACGGAUCUUUAUAGUCUUAGAUAAUUGCAUGUAUCUCUUAGGCAUUUGGAGAAGAAAGGGAUAGCAGCAUGGUAUGCACAGGGGCUUGAAUUAGUGAAUUCUCAAUAUAUUUUAAAUCUCAGGAAUGAUGAUUGAAGUUUGAAUGAAAUUUUCUUUAUAGAAUCAAAGUUCCUUAUUCUUGCUUGUGAUGAUUUAUGAUUUGAAAAUCUAUCAUUUAGUAGGGUUUUUAACAGGAUUGUGUAUUUAUUGACUUAAUAUAUCAUCAACACUCAACUUCAUGAAAUACUUAAUGACAUCUGCACAAGAGUGCUUCAUAAUGGUAGGUUCUAAUGAUGUUCAGAUGGAUAGGAUUAAGCAAUUUUUAUUCUUUUGUAAUGAAACAAAAAACUCGACUUUUAACAAAGAAACCUUUUAUAGAAACCUUGAAGACAAUAGACUGUAAAUAUCGUAUAAUUAAAUUGAUGUUUCCACAGUAGACUGAUGAAACAUUUUCAGUUAAAGUUAGAUUCACCUUGCCAAUCUGUAAUAAAAGCUUGUAUAACAAAUUUGAAUCAGUGGCCAAGUGUUAUCGAAUUUAACUUGUAAAUGGGUUGUUCGAGCCUACCAAAUUUUUAAAUUAGAUUAUUUCAAGAACUGCUAUGUUAAACAUUUGCUGCAGUGCGAUAUCUGUACAUUUACUGUACCCACCAAUUUACAAAAGAAUAAUAUAUAUUACUGUGGUCACAAAUAAUAUAUAUUCUUAUAUAAUAAUACUAGUUAAAUUGGUUUGUGGUUUAAGCACUGAUCUACUUAAAUAACUAGUAACUCAUCAAUCAACCAGUAUAUGGACUGAAUCAAUUACCAAUUUUUUGGAACAUUGAUGUAUAUCAACGCAAGUGCCUCUGAAAUCAUUCUGCUAAUGAAAAUUUACAGAGAAAUAGGUUUACUUAAAAGGUUGGUUAUACUAAAUGUGUGUUUGGAGACACUGAUAUAUUAGAUUGUUAUAGCAUAGAUUUCUCUGGUGUUCUAAUUUUUCCAGAGCAAAAAAAAAAAAAUUGAGGAGAUUUAAAGUAUAAAGUUGAAUAUAUAUCUACAUAGCAUGCCCCAAGUUUCUCAAGAUGUAUUGUACAACUGCUAAACAAUGGUGAAUAUGUGAGAGAUAAUUUAAGGCAUACCACAAUGACAUUCUUCUCUAAAAGAAAACAUGUACAUGACCCUAAGCUGAGAGGCACUUCCUGUACAGGGAUUACGUGUUCAAUAUUUUCUUUGGCUUGAGAUGGAAGAAAUUAACCAGUACUGCUUCUAUAAGUUUGAUAAAUUUCAUCCACUUGCUCUGCUGGCACAUAAAUUGCAUCUUUUAGAAAGCUAUGAGUUCGGCCAUAAAAGACAUAAACUAGUAGUCCUGUUCCCAUCCAUAUAGAAACACGCAACCAUGUACCAUAUCUGAAACAAAGAUGAGUAAGAAUUAGAAAAUGCAAUUCCAUUAACAAAGUUUCAACAUUGAACUGCUGAUUCUGCAAAAUACUAUGAAUAUAUCUCAGUUUUAUCCAUUUGACUCUUCUCUGUUAUUUAGAAUGUUGGUUGAAUUAGACAGUUUAUUCUACAGCACGGACAUUCAAUUUUACAAACCAGAGAAACAAAUAUGAAAAGAAAAAUAUCGUGAACAUUUUCAGGGAAUGUAGUUCUUGAAUUGAAUUAAUAUUUUCAUUAUUCUAUUAUCAACCAAAGUUUUAAAAAAUGGUCCACGGUUAUAAUUUCGGUCACAUUUCUUCUAAAUUUCCUGCAAUAUCAAGUAUCCCCAUUAAACUAUGACCAGAACCAAAUGAGCAACUUGUUAUAAACAAUAAAUAUGAACCAGUGAGAAAGGAUAGUUCAGUAAGAGAAACCGAACAGGAGCUUUUCCAAUUAACAUCACACAAAAAAUAUCAGUUUUUAUUCAAUUAAAGUUCCUGCCAUUCUUACUAUUUACUAGAAUGAAGGUGAAAUUAUGUUUGUUAAAGCAGGCAGAGGAGAAAGAGAAUACUAGAUGUAUUCUGAUAUUAACUUCAUUAAAUAACAAUAAAAUUCUAAAAGUUAUUAGUCUUGAAAUCAAAAUACUUCCAUCAAUUUCAAGAUUUCCACACACAGCCUGAUGUAAAAGAAUACAUUUGAAAAGCGAGUUUGGUCAAACAAAAAGUAUAACAAAUUAAGUAUUAAUGCUUACCCAAGAUUAACAAGUAAGUAGGAAUUUAUGAGAAUGCAAGCUAUCGGAAGCAGUGGCACAAAUGGGCAAAUAAAACCUGAAAAAGAAUAAUGAUUGAAUUAUCUCUCUUAAGCUGAAUAGAAUUAAUGGUCAGCCUAUUUUUUACUGUUUGUUAUAAUUAUAUGCAACUCUUGUUCAAUAUACUCCAUGUGUGUGACACUAGAAGAUAUGCACCUCUGCAUUUGAAUGGAAUAAGACAACCAACACUACUCAUGAAUUUAUGUAACACAAGGAUAUUGUGGUAAGAUAUACCUCCAGUGUGCCCAAAGUCAUGUCUUGCGUCAUCUUGAUCUAUUCUGAUUAGGAAAACAAAACCACACAAAAGAAUAGCAGCUCCAACUCCACACAAUGCAAAGCGAACAGAACUGGCAAUAGCAUACAAAAAUGCUCAAAAAACUGGGAACCUCAUGCAAUCCUUAAAUGACACGAAAAACAACAGAUAAAGUGCAUAAAUUUAUUGAAGAGAUUAUCCUGUAACAGUAUUAUCAAACCUCUUCAAUUCUCAGGAUAAGGCCUAGUCCCUAAUAGCCCAUUUCCUUUCAUCUCAAACCAACCACCAAACUAUUUAGGGAACCUGAAUCCUUGAUUAGGUAUUGAGAAAUUUCCAUUGCAUGUGAAGCUUGAGAAAGGCUACAUAAUCUGCAAGUAGACUAACCUAGGAAGAGUGAAAUCUGAAGCUGCAUAUGUAAGGACAAACGCCCCUAAGAAGAUCAGUGAUAUGAUCCACCCAACAACUUUUCGCCUUUCAGCUUCAACUAUAUCUGUACCCAAAAUAAAUAAAUAAAUAAAUGCAUGAAGGAGAAAAUCAACAUAUGCCAAAUGACAGGAUUAUAACAAAUGAACCAAUGUUAGUUUCUUGAGCGACAUAGACUAUAUAUAAUGAACACUAAAUUGUAUUAUCCAUUAAAAAUAUUGGUAAAGGAGAAGGAAAGUGAUAACUCACGGUUUCCUCCAGAAAAAUGUUUGGUAAAAUCAACUGAAACAUCCUCCUUAACGAUCAAAGGCUUUGUGUGCUCAGAAGUAUUAGCAUCUACGUCUCCCACAUUUGUAUCUGAACUGCUCAAACUAUACCGCUUCAACACUGAAGCAAUUGAAUCCUUGAGAGAUGGAGGCAGCGGGACUUCAUUUGGAGGGACAUAUCUUAGGAUCAACACAGACAUUGCCACCAUGGUAAAUGCUAAAAGUGUACCCACACUAACCUGCAGGAGAAAAGUUAUAUACAUAUUAGUACAAAUAUCGACAUAUACAUAUUAGAACUACCUUAGGAAUACUUGAUGUCAACAGAGUAUGGAAUCAAAAAAGCGAAAAAAUAUUCUAGCCAUAUUGGAAAAAUAACCGACAUUCACGUCAACUAGAAAUAAUGUUAGAUACAAUAUGUAAGUAAAGCCACUUAUAAUUUUAUAAAUCGGUUUUGUAAGAUUAAAUUAGGUCAAAGAUACUUUGCAAGAUGAUAUUAGAACUGACCCUCAUAAGGGAUCACUCACCAUUAUAUACACUUACUAUGACCAGAGUUGGACAUAUGAGGGGCAAUCCUGUCACAAAUUUUGUUGGUUAAGUUAGGUCUAAACUACUUUGUAAGAUGGUAUUCCAACCUAUGCCAGAUCUACUAAAAGGGUUACUCACCACCAUGUUAUAAACCAAGCCCAAUUGUGGGGCAAUCCUAUUGGACUAGACUGAUAUAAAAACUCGUCAUUUAACUUCUCCAAAGCAAGGUAUAAGUUGAUUUUAGCUUUUGGAGAAAAAAUAUUUCUCCUUCCUGUGAGUGUAAGGAAAAAUCUAUGUGAACUGAACCAAAGUAAAUUUAGUUACCGUACUAUUCAAGGAGAGUGAACUAAUAAUGGUGUUGGUAAAGAGUGUUAUUAGAGGAAUGUUAGUUGCUAUAACGCACUAUUUCAUUUAGCAACGAAACUUGUAUCCACUGAAUCUAAAAAUUGUAGCAACCAAGUUCCAGACUUACCAUCCCUGCCAAUUCAGAGACUUCCAUAGAAAAUGCCAAGCCUGCAGCCACAAUGCCAGUAACUAUUGUGCCCUUAACAGGAACCUGAGUCUUCUUAUUUAUAUCAGCACAAAAAGGUGGCAGCAAUCCAUCUCUUGCCAUAGACAUCAAAAUUCGUGGCUGAGAAACAUUUAACAAAACACAAUGGUAACUUUGCCUGUUAACUCAAUACUUCAGAAAAAAAAAGGGGGGGACAAAGUUUGUGAUAACUGCUGGUACAAGCAAUCAUAGAAUGAAGCACGAAAGAAACGCAGCAUAUAUUUGAAUAUGAUGAUUCGAAUGAAAUUCAGUACACUGCACCUUGGUCUUCUAGUUCAUUACAUAAUUCUCUUAAGAAUCAAGCUUAGUGGUUAAAAAAUAUCAAUAAAAUUAAACUUUUAAUGAAAAUCACAGUGAGGGUGCCUUGGAAAUAAUAUCAGAAAUUGAGACGUUUCUGUUUGCUCAGUCUUUUCAGGUUGAAUUUAAUUAUAAACCUUGUCUUGUGGAAAAGUUAGGUGUUUGGUCAGUGGUUAAGUAAAAAUGAGUGGUAGCAUAUUUACAUCUCUCUUGCAUGUAUUAAACCUUUUGUAAAAUAUAACCCACUGCACUAAACAGAUUUGAUAUCAUUGCUUUUCUCCCUUCUUCCAUCGUAUAUCUUCACAAGAAAAACCCUAUUCUCAGUUUCUUUCUGGAUUUACAACCUUUACAGUUUUUCUGAUUUAAUAACAAAAAUAGUGAGUUGCAUUGAUACAUUUUGCAUGAAAACUUUCCACUUUUGGUUUCUUAACCAGUAUUCCAAGGGAAUUUAUUAACAUUCUCUUUGAAAUAAUUAAGUCACAUAAAUCCCAAAUUAAGACCCACAAGUACUAAUACGUACAAAUACCCUUUUAUCUCUCAAACUAAAACAGCUCAUAAACAAAAAGGUGUGUCAAUUUGUCUUGUUAGGUACAUCCUUAAUAUGAGAAUAUAGAGUUUGCCGUGUGUUCAAUACAAAACUUACACAUCCCCAGAAUAACGAAGAUUUAUAUUUACCCAUAAAAGUGAUACUUUAAAGUACUUCAAUAGUUUAUAAUUUUAACCAUACAUUAAAAAAAAUACAGGAGAACAACUUUGGCCUAAUAAAGAGUAAGCACAUAUGAAAUAUAUUAAAUUCACAGCAGAAAAAUAAGAGAAUAAACAAUUACAGAGGUGACAAACCCACCUGGGUUUAGAUUAACUUACCUGGGGAAGUAUCCCACCCAACAAUGCUGAACAGAGAGCUGUGCAAGCACCAGCAUUUAUAAUGUAACUGCAAUCACAAACAAGAAAUUUGUCUAUGGUGACAUAACAUCUACAUAGAUUAAGAAACUAAAAUUUGAUGAAGAAUCAGAUGCAAAAUUGUAAUGUCUAAACUUACGCUGCCCAUUCCAUUCCUUGUUCAGCAAAUGCAGAAGAUAUUGGUGUAUCCGGUUCAAUUGCAUAAUAAGGUACUAAACCAACUACAACAAGGGACACCAUCAUAUAUAUCCCACAGCAAAGAAACAAUGCACCUGCAAUACCUAGGGGUAAAUCUCGUUGAGGAUUUUUCACCUGUUUCAUCAAGUGAAACAUUAUCAGCAAGUUCGAACAAUUGAGCAUCCUCAAGCAUGCAUAUAUGUUUGGUGUAAAUUAUUUUGGAGAAAUAAUUGCCUCUUUUUGGGUAAAUACUUUUUGUUUCUGGUGAACUCAAGCUAUCCCAGUUGGGAGCCAAGGAUUAAUCUUCCGAAAUAUUGAGAUUCAUAUAUGAAGUUCAUAUCAGACAAAUGCUUUUCUAUACAUACGGAGCUCUCAGGACUAAACUUCUGAUCACAUAAUCAAAGAACAAAAUUAUCUGUCAAUAACAUACUAGGUUUGAAACCUAGUUAAAUUUUUAUCUCUCAAAAUGCUUUUAGUUUCUAAAUAAAAUUAUUUGGUUGUAGUUCUUAAAUGUAACAGAAACAUUAGUAUUUUCCCUACAGACAAAAUAUAUAUGUUGAGACCAAAAUUAUCUUUUUGUUAUUAAGAAAAUUGAGCUGACAAAAUAAUAUAAACUGAACCAAUAAACUGACACUAUCAUUAUUACCUCUUCAGCAGUGCUGGCAACUGCAUCAAAGCCUAUGUAUGCAAAGAAUACUGUGGCAGAACCAGCUAGUAUCCCAUUAAAACCAAAGGGAAAAAGUCUGUGAAAGCAAAAGAGACAAGCCUUAGGUAAUUAGAGACCAAACAUAUAACAUAGGAGAAGUGCAAAAGCAAAAAUUUAAAGUACCAAUCAGGAGUUUUGUCAAAUGAAACAGUACCCCAUAGGAAGAUCAUAUCCAAGCCAACCAGACUUGAAUCCCAUGUAACCACCAGCUACUAUGACAAAAAGCAAUGCACAUAUAUUCACUGCUGUCACUAUUCCUUGUACCACUGUACUCUGCAUGUAUUAAGCACUCUAAAUUUUUGGAUAUUUUAGCUUAGAAAACAAAUAAAGAACAGUGACAGGGUGAAUAUGUUCAUUGUGCAAAGCUCACGGUUCACAUACAAAGGAUCCAUGCAGUAUCUUAAACGAACAGAAAGAAAACAAUAUCACUCAUAUAUACAAAGAAGAAAUAUUAGUAUACGAACUCCUAUAUUACAUCAAUUUUUCAAAUAAUACUUUGUAAUAAAACAUUUUAUACUUUGUAAAUUUCUGUAUUUUCAGUAACUUUAUUUUACAAAAUGUCUACUCGUGUAAAGAUUUAUAAAUAAGCCUUUGUUAGCUGAUCAUUACUAAAAUUUGGUUAGUUUUUACUUUUUAUAAUCACAAUAGCCUAUACUGAAGGACUUAGGUAGAUCAUGUAAAUUUAAUUCCUAGAUAAAAGUAGAUAAAAGUAAGAAAAUUGAAUAGGUCAUUGUGAUUUAGUAAAAGCUUGUAAUAAUAGAAAAUUACCUCCUUGAUGCCCAGACACAAGAGUCCUGUAACAAGUAAUACCAAGAUUGCUGCACAUGGGUCUACAACUAUAUCCAUUCCAGAAAUAUGGUACCGCGAUAUGAACACUGGUAAAUUCUCCUUACCAAAAAGUGCAGUCUAAUCACACAUUUCAUUCAUGUCAGUGUUUGAAAUCACCUUUUCUUGCAAUUGGUUAAGCUAAAAGCAAGCAAAACAUUCUAUACAAAUUCUCAAAUUCAUAAACCUGACAACCAAAAAACUGAACUAACAACGCACCAAAUUGGGGGUUACGCCACGAGCAACAGCAGCACUGCCAAUUGUAUAUUCCAAAAUCAAGGACCAACCAAUCAACCAAGCAACACUGAAAGUAAAAGUAACCAUCAUUACUAUGAAUGUGAGAAGAAAAGAAACCGCCAAAUAAGGCUGCUAACACUGAAUGAUGCAAUUAGACAAUGGAAAAGAAAAACAAGAAUGAUACUUAAAGGACAUAGAUGUUAUAUAAAUUGGUAUACAACGUUAAAACAUAAAAAAGAGUACCCUUCUCCAAUACAUAUGUAUGAAUAGUGAUAUGCACUCCCUGCAGAAGGGCAUCUACUAGCCAACUCUGCAUAACAAAAGGCAGAAAGACCAGCUGCUAAUCCAGCAAUCAGAAAAGAAAUGGCCAAAGCAGGUCCAGCAUGCUCCCGUGCAACUGUUCCCACCAGAACAUACACUCCAGCACCAAUUGUUGAACCAACACCUGAUCAUCAUAUACCAAUGUCAAACUCAAUUGCAAAACAAUUAAUGUGUGUUCAUUAGAAGCUAAAAAAUUAGGAAAAUAAACACACUAAUAUGUCUUAGGAAUCUUGGUGUCAGUUUGAAUCCCAAAGUGAGAAAAUUGAGCAAUAUAAGAAAAUGAAAGACUUCAAUUUUUUGUUUUGAAAUUGGUGCUGUAAUUUCUUUUAUAAAUUGGUUUAUAAUGAAAGUAACUUUAAUCAUAACUGUAGUAAAUAUAAUAUCACAGAGGAAUUUUCUUUGACUUUGGAAGACUGUGAAAACACAAUCAUGACAAAAAUAUAAAAUAAAAAAGGGAAGGAAUAUGUCGUUCUGCCAAUAAGAAAAGAGGAAAUCCGACAAAUGUACCAAUCAAGCGGUCAAACAUGAAGACAAACCAAACAUUUUUCCACAUCACCCGAAAAUUGUAACAAUUCCAGGAACGUAUCCCAGAUGAAAACAUGAUUAAAGAUGAGAUUUUUAAUUAAAAAAGAAGAAGAAGAAGAAGAAGAAGAAGAAGAAGGAGAGGAAAGGAAUUGAAUUAAUCACCAAUAGCAAUGAGAUGAGGAACAGUUAACUCCCUGGCAAGAGAAGGCUGAGAGUAAUUCCUACUUUGAGAAUCAACCUGCUUCCUCCUAGUUAAAAACUUGAAGGAACCCCCUGAACCAUUUUGUGAUUGUGAACCAAUUGAAACACCCAUCAAAGAAAAAAAAAAACACACACACACACAGACACGAAUAUUUGCUAGCUCAACCACAAAGCCAAGUCUCCCUUAAUGAAAAACAAAAUCAACUUUGUCCCAAGAUCAAAGUGCACAACACAAAGGUGGUGGUGGUGUGGCCAAAAUUAACUAAUGUCGUAUAAUUCUCCUUGCUCUGUUGAUGGGGUUGUUGUCGUUAUGGAUAAAAGUGGCAAAAUAAGAAUCUGAAAUCGAAAUUGUUUGCGUCUUUCCUUGCUUGAUGGUGGUGACCAAUGCUGACAGAUUGACAAAAACGAAUGAAAGGGUAAAGGAAUGCUUAACGCCAAAUGGUAACGCUAUAAAAGGUAUCAUUGAGAAAGUAGGGGCAAUUAUAUAUAGUAAUUGUUUGCGUCUUUCCUUGCAUGUCAGCUAUCUUAUGUUUAUAGUUAACUCAAAACGUAUGGAUAUGUUUAAAAAAUAUAUGGGAGUCUGUCAGACAACCCUGCGACCAUCCCAAUUCGCUAGAACGGGAACGAUCCUCUACAGGAGGUGAUGAACACAGUCCGUAAACUGAGUCAACACUACCGUUAAUCACGCUCUGAUCACAGGGUCAUGGUUCAUCCACCAGACUUCAGUUCCUGUCUCCUUAGAACUUAAGGAUACAGAGGUACGAGCCUAUAGAACAGAUCCUGUUCAAGUAAGGUCGUGGCCAGAGCUAUCUGAUUCGCGUUUAUA